UCUGGCUCAGAUUGAACGCUGGCGGCAGGCCUAACACAUGCAAGUCGACGGUAGCACAGAGAGCUUGCUCUCGGGUGACGAGUGGCGGACGGGUGAGUAAUGUCUGGGAAACUGCCUGAUGGAGGGGGAUAACUACUGGAAACGGUAGCUAAUACCGCAUAAGUCGCAAGACCAAAGAGGGGGACCUUCGGGCCUCUUGCCAUCAGAUGUGCCCAGAUGGGAUUAGCUAGUAGGUGGGGUAACGGCUCACCUAGGCGACGAUCCCUAGCUGGUCUGAGAGGAUGACCAGCCACACUGGAACUGAGACACGGUCCAGACUCCUACGGGAGGCAGCAGUGGGGAAUAUUGCACAAUGGGCGCAAGCCUGAUGCAGCCAUGCCGCGUGUAUGAAGAAGGCCUUCGGGUUGUAAAGUACUUUCAGCGGGGAGGAAGGGUGAGGUUAAUAACCUCAUUGACGUUACCCGCAGAAGAAGCACCGGCUAACUCCGUGCCAGCAGCCGCGGUAAUACGGAGGGUGCAAGCGUUAAUCGGAAUUACUGGGCGUAAAGCGCACGCAGGCGGUCUGUCAAGUCGGAUGUGAAAUCCCCGGGCUCAACCUGGGACUU
rnacentral:rRNA from 1 species